CCCCUAGAUGUUCUGGGCCGCACGCGCGCUACACUGACGAUGGCAACGAGUUUUUCCUUCGCCGAAAGGUGUGGGUAAUCUUUUGAAACAUCGUCGUGCUGGGGAUAGAUCAUUGCAAUUUUUGAUCUUGAACGAGGAAUUCCUAGUAAGCGCGAGUCAUCAGCUCGCGUUGAUUACGUCCCUGCCCUUUGUACACACCGCCCGUCGCUACUACCGAUUGAAUGGUUUAGUGAGGACUCCUGAUUGGCGCCGCCGCCCCGGCAACGGAGCAGCGGACUGCCGAAAAGUUGUUCAAACUUGAUCAUUUAGAGGAAGUAAAAGUCGUAACA
rnacentral:rRNA from 1 species